AGAGCUUAUAAAAAAUGCCAUUCAAUGAUCCAAUAACAGUGUUGCAUUUGAAAAAAUUGAGUUUUGGCCACUUGUAGUUUGUCUUUUUCAGAAAAUUGUAGUAAGCGCAGGAAUAUCGACUAAGAGCUCGCUUUCAUUGCAAAAGAUGCGUCAAAGUGAACAAAAGUUGAUUAAGUUGAAGAAUUAAGUAUUGAGUGGUUCUGAACUUAUAAUUUUUUGUGGGUUUUUGCACGUGCCAUUUUCAUACAUAAAUUGACAUUGAAAUUGAAAUUGAACGAUAAUAAUUUAUAUCCUUAUCAACAGUAAAUGUUUAAAAACUAAUAAGGCAUCAAAAAUUAUUUCCAAGUUAGAAAUGAGUCAUUCGAAAAACCUUGAUACGAAAAGGUAUAAAUUGUAGAAAACAACCCAUUUUCAAAUGUACCUACAAACGUUUUUUUAUAAAUAAGUCCGAUUUAGUAAGUGGGCAAAUCUCAAAUCUUCAUUUUAUUUCUACAUUUAGACUCCUGAAGUGAUACUCUAAAACGGUCUAAACCCAUAAUUUCAAUUUGGGACACCUGUAGGUAUUCCAAAUGAUACAAAUGUAGACGAUACCUAUCGCCGUAAAAUUAAAAAUUUUAUACCAUUAGUAAUUGAAUUAGAACAAAUAUGCAAACAAAAGGAAGUAACAAUAAUACCACUUAUAAUAUUCUAUACAGGCAUGAUUCCAAAAAAAUAUGAAAUAUUUGCAAAAACUUCAACUUCCUGAUUAUACACUAGCCAUAAUGAAGAAAGCUGUACUGUAAUAUAUACAGAAAGAAACUUCUUAAGAGAAAAAAUAAGUAGCCUUUUCCCAAUUCUGUUGAAGAAAAAAGUAAUUGGCAAAUGCUUCCAGUGGAAUACCGUGAAAGUAGUAAAAAAUUUAGUGAACAAAGAUAACCAGUUGGACACACCAACUAAGUCAAUGGAUAGCAGAGUGUUGUAAGUGAUUGCGUUCAAAAGUGAAAAAGUCCCUAUUACACCGAAAAACGGAAAACUUAUUGAGAAAAAUCGCAGCAGAUGAAGGUUAAGAAACUUUUACUGUCUGUUGAUGCUAAUAAUGACUAAUUUGUCGAAAUGCAGCGAAAAAUUCCUUUCUCCGAGGGUCGAACGAGAGGCAGGUAUUGGGUGCAUGUGAUAUGAAUGGAGAACGCAUUUCACCUGCUGUGGAUCACCCGAGGGGCUCGACGCAGACAAGAUGAUGGACUCUCACGCCUGAGCCAACCCCGAAACACACAUUCUUUCAUGUCGCGUGUUUUGCUCGAAUUUAUCCAGCAAUUGGGCCAAGAACUACAAUCUGCUAUUAAACAUUUAUUUUUCUUUAAUCAGUUGUGAGUCUAAUAAUAAUUGCUUUUUUCGGGGAUAAUUGGUGGAAUAAAGAAUAAUUAAAAAAGA